GUUGGUGUAACUCAGUGGUAAGAGUGCAUGCUUUGUACGUAUGAUGCCCUAGGUUCAAUCCCCAGCUUCUCCC